UCCGGGCGAUUUGUGUUUACUUUAGUCAGUAGCAAGUAUGGCUGUAUAGAGAGUUAGUUAGGAUGUUACAGGACACAUUUUGAUAAAGAAGAAUCUCCUGGGUCUUCAGCAGACAGACAUGUCUGGGUUCAGCGCGGAGCUCAUUGACUACCUGGAGGGGAGGAUAAGUUUUGAGGAGUUCGACAAGCGGAGAGAUGAGCGGAAAGCAAAGGAGUCGGAGGUACCUGCAGGUGUCGAGGAGGAUGCUCAGCCCUCCACCUCCUCCAUUAUCCCGGGAAAGAUAGAGGAGGGGGUCAGCCCGGGGGUCCAGCUGGCCUUCGCCUCCAUGCUGGAAGAAAAGCCAGAACCAGCAUCUUCAGAAGAGCCGGAGGAGGAGGAAGAGGAGGAGGAGGAGGAGGACAGCCUGAGCUACGUGGAUGAUGAAGAAGAUCAGGAUUACAAGGUGGAGAAAGAUGAGGGGGGCAAGAUGGAGAUGGACAUAGAGGAGGCGGCAGAGGUAGAGGAGGCAGAGAAGGGGCCAGGGGUGACAAUAGAAAGAAAACGAAAAGGCAGGAAGAAGAAGAAGAAGAGAGAGAUGGAUGAGGACGAAGACGUGACGGUGGGGGAUGUGUUUGCCCUGGAGAUGGAGCUGAACCGAGAAAACAAGAAGAUGAUGAAGGAGCGGCGUCAUCGCAGCAAGCUGCCCAGAGCUCUGAGAGGCCUGAUGGGAGAGGCCAACAUCCGCUACGCCCGAGGAGAGAAAGAGGACGCCAUCCUGAUGUGCAUGGAGAUCAUACGACAGGCUCCUCUGGCCUAUGAGCCCUUCUCCACCUUGGCCAUGAUCUACGAGGAUGAGGAGGACAUGGAGAAGGCGCUGCAGUUCGGUCUGAUCACGGCCCAUCUCAACCCCUCAGACUGCGAGGAGUGGGUCAGACUGGCCGAAAUGUCUCUGGAGCAGGACAACAUCCGACAGGCCAUCGUCUGCUACUCGAAGGCUAUUAAAUAUGACCCCACCAACGUACGCUACGUGUGGGAGCGCUCCAGCCUGCACAUGCGCCUGGGCGAACACAAACAGUGCAUGGACGGAUACCGCAGGAUCCUGUCCCUGCUGCCCAUGGAGGACGGGGAGCACUUCAUGCAGCUCUCCAAGGACAUGGCCAAGAGCUACUAUGAGAGUAAUGACUUGCCCUCAGCUCUGGGGGUAAUUGAGGAAGCUCUUGCGCGACACCCCGACCUGGUCAGCGAUGACUUCAUCAACAUGGCCGCCGAGCUCUUCAUUUCCAACCGGCAGUACAACAAGGCCCUGCAGGUGCUGGUCCAGUUUGCAGCUAUAGUUUUGGUCAGGGAUGAAUCCAACCCAGAUGUUGUAGAACCAAGGGAAGAAGAGAAGGAGGCAGAGAAGAUGACUGAGGAAGAAGCAAAUACGAAUGAAGAAUGUACAACAACUGUGAAGACUGUAGAGGAAAUAGCUGCAGAAGAGAACGGUGAAAUUCGGGAUGUCCAAGUACCAGACAGUGUCCCAGUGGACCUGAGGGCCAAGCUAAUGGUUUGCCUCAUUCACCUGCAUGUCAUCACACCCCUGGAGGGCCUGGUGUCGUCGCUGAUGGAGCAGAGUCAGGAGGAGAUCGGGGACUUGUACCUGGAUGUAGCUGAAGCCUACCUGGAGGAGGGCGAGUACAUGGCUGCUCUGCCUCUGCUGUCCGCCCUCGUCAUCUCCGAGAAGUACAACCUGGCCGUCGUCUGGCUCCGACACGCAGAGUGUCUGAAGGCGCUGGGCCACAUGGAGGUGGCGGCACAGAGCUACACUAAAGUGGUGGAUAUGGCCCCCCAGCACCUGGAGGCGCGGCUCUCCCUGGCCACCCUGCAGCAGCAGCUGGGCCGACCCGACUGCGCCCUCAAAGCUCUGGAGUCCAUGUACGACAGUGACACUCUGGCACAGGACUCUUCAGCCGCACAGAAGGAAUUGAAGCUGCUUCUCCAUCGCUCCACCCUGCUGAAGACCCAGGGACUCACACAGGACUACCUGGAUGCUAUGAUCACUAUGAUCUCCAUGCUGCUGAAGGUGUCCAUGCAGCGAGCUAAGGUGUGUGUGCGUUCUGUCACCUUGUCGGGGGAGAGUCACCUGAGACUGGUGAAGUCUAAAGACAUGGUGCCAGAGAUUGAUGAUCAUGAGGCUGCAUAUCUGGACAACACAGGUAAGACCAACGUCCUGUCCAGAGAGGACUGGUGGCAGCUGCUGGUGAGCUGCGUGCAGACGAUGAGCGAGGUGAAGCGCUACGAGGAGUCUGAGCUGCUGGUGGAGUCUGCCAUGGAGUUCUACUCCUUCUACGACAACAAGCCGCGGAGGAAGGAGCUGGAGUUCUUCGGCCUGUCCGCCACCAUCCUCGACCACAACUACUACAAAGCAUACAACUACAUCAGAUUGAUGUUGAUGGAAAAUCGGGAUCAGCCUCAGCUUUGGAAUAUUUUCAACCAGCUGACUAUCACCUCCCAACACCAGCGUCACCAUCGCUUCUGUCUGCGCCUCCUGCUGAAGCAUCCUGACAACCACGCCCUGUGUUUCCUGUGCGGUCACAACGCCAUGGUCUCCGGAAGCUUCAAACAUGCCCUAGGCCAGUAUGUCCAGGCCUUCCAGACUCACCCCGACACCCCCCUCCACAGCCUGUGUGUGGGCCUCACCUUCUUCCACAUGGCCUCUCAGAAAUAUGUGGCCAAACGCCAUGCGCUGGUGCUACAGGGUUUCUCCUUCCUGUGGCGGUAUGUGGAGCUGCGGGGAGUGUGUCAGGAGAGCAUGUACAACCUGGGCAGAGCGCUGCAUCAGAUGGGCCUCGCAUAUCUGGCUAUACAUUAUUAUCAAAAGGCACUGAAACUGCCUGCUCAGAAACUAGAGGGUAUCCCUGACGAUCAGGUGGAUCUGAGCAGAGAGAUCGCCUUCAACCUGUCUCUCAUCUACCAGGCCAGCGGGAACAUGAACAUGGCCCACCAGAUCAUCAAAACACACUGCGUUGUCUGAAAAAAGAAUAAAGAUAUUUAUCUAUCCUAGGUGGAAAUUGGGUUUUCUGAAGAAAUUUAUUUACACAUAAGAAAAAAGUAAAUAAAAAAAUGUCCAAAUUGUACUAAAAGGGAUUAAGACUGUUGGAUUAUUUGCCAAAUCCCUCCCUCUCCUCUCCCAAGCAUCUGCUUCCAUCAUAUUUCCCUCCCGGGUCACUGCACUGCAUCUAGGCCAGGCCAGAGGCGGGACAGCCUACUUAUGGAGGGGAGGGGCUUUCCCCAGCCACUGAAUAAUCAGGUAUAACGAUUCCAUAUUGUGAUAACCAGAAGGCGGCUGGUUGUAUUUCCCCCGGCAUGGCAGGGCGUCAGCUGCCCGGGAGCAGAGUGCGUGAAGCGGCGGAAACGGAGAGGCGGAUGUGGAGAGGUCCAGCCGAAUAAAUAAGAGAUGAACGCGUCCUUCUAUGCAGCCUGGCAUCAUGACGGAGAUUUUUCAGAGAAUGAGAUCGGAACUAUGAUUUAAAAACGGGAAUUACAUUGUUUUGUUUGGCUUGUUUGACCAGACUGGCUACCGAGGGGCAGCGUUUCUUCGCCCGGCCUCUGGAGCUCUGGAUCCCGCUUGGAAGCCGAUGAAGGGUCGGUGGUGCCCGGGCCGUAUGGAGGUCCUUCGCUCAUAAUCAUUCUGCAGGGCUUGCAUUCAGGUGUGGUCGUAGUCGACGUUUAACUCGGUGUAAAUAA